AGCAGGCAGCGUGGGUGUGUCCGUUUCCUCUCUGCUCCUGACUGUGGAUGAGAUGUGACUCACUGCCUGAGUUCCUGUCAGGAAUGGUGACCUCAAACUUUCAACAGGAACGCUGAGUAAGCAGCAAAUGGGGAACAGCGAGCAGUCUUCUGGUCUGUGAUAGCAUUAUAUCUACACCAAGCUGGCCAGUUUGUUCGGGGAGAGACAGCCCCCCCACCCCCCCAAGGACAGGUUCCUGCUCAGCUGCCAAGAACCACAAGGCCUCCUCUGGCUCUCUCCAUCCACCUGCUCCCGUCAGAGCAUCCUUCCCCCGGGGAGAUCAAGGACCAGCCAAGGAAGACCAUGCGUGGAAGCCAACUUUACGUGGGAGGAAAUGCAGCCCGACACAUCCGGGAGGAAAAAAAAGCUAGCUCCCAUGAGAGCCUGGAGCCAGCGCUACCCAAGGCUAGCCAUUCCUUCCUGUCCUCUGAUACUGAGAAAGUAAGCUUUUGGCUGUGCAUAGAGCAGGGAACCCAUACUCCUGAGAGUCCUACCUGGUCCCCUAACCCCUCCUGUUGUGAUAGCCCAACCCAGGACCCUAGCACGAACAGUUGUCUGUAGACAGUGAGACACCUGGCUCGCUGGCUCUCCUUCAUCCCCACUGGUCCCCUGCCUACCAGCUGUGCUACUGGCUACUCGGGGGUGAUGUAUAUUUAACAAGGGCUCAGAAUCAAAUUAAUUCAGAUGAGUUAAUAAACGGCAACCUCCAUCUUCCUCUCGGGUAAGCUAAA
rnacentral:lncRNA from 1 species